rnacentral:tRNA from 1 species
GGAAUAUAGCUCAGUUGGUAGAGUGAGUACCUCGCAUGCACAAGGCCCUGCGUUCAAUCCCCAACACCA